rnacentral:rRNA from 1 species
UGCCAGCAGCCGCGGUAAUACAUAGGGGGCAAGCGUUAUCCGGAAUUAUUGGGCGUAAAGGGUGCGUAGGCGGGAAAAUAAGUCAGUGGUGAAAGCCUGCAGCUUAACUGCAGAACUGCCAUUGAAACUGUUUUUCUUGAGUAUAGAUGAAGUGGGCGGAAUGUAUCAUGUAGCGGUGAAAUGCAUAGAUAUGAUACAGAACACCGAUUGCGAAGGCAGCUCACUAAACUAUUACUGACGCUGAGGGACGAAAGCGUGGGGAGCGAACAGGAUUAGAUA